rnacentral:rRNA from 1 species
CCUACGGGGGGCUGCAGUGGGGAAUAUUGGGCAAUGGGCGCAAGCCUGACCCAGCAACGCCGCGUGAAGGAAGAAGGCUUUCGGGUUGUAAACUUCUUUUGACAGGGAAGAGCAGAAGACGGUACCUGUCGAAUAAGCCACGGCUAACUACGUGCCAGCAGCCGCGGUAAUACGUAGGUGGCAAGCGUUAUCCGGAUUUAUUGGGGGUAAAGGGCGUGUAGGCGGGAAUGCAAGUCAGAUGUGAAAACUAUGGGCUCAACCCAUAGCCUGCAUUUGAAACUGUAUUUCUUGAGUGCUGGAGAGGCAAUCGGAAUUCCGUGUGUAGCGGUGAAAUGCGUAGAUAGACGGAGGAACACCAGUGGCGAAGGCGGAUUGCUGGACAGUAACUGACGCUGAGGCGCGAAAGCGUGGGGAGCAAACAGGAUUAGAUACCCUUGUAGUC